UUUGGCAUGGCAACCGCUUUGU
rnacentral:miRNA from 3 species